rnacentral:other from 1 species
AUUUACCUGCCCUGUUGGUGAUAAGGCGAACAUGUUGAUCCGGCAAAUUAGAUCUUUUGGGAGCCUGUGUAAAGGCCUUUUGUGCAUGCCCUGUUUAAUACUGGGAAGCCUGCGGGUCCUUUCAGGGCACCCACUUAUAACAAAAAUGGGAUCUAAUUUCGCUUUACACGGCAGGGUGGGAAUACU